rnacentral:tRNA from 1 species
GACCGCGUAGCUCAGUUGGAAGAGCAUUGGGCUGGUAUUCCAAAGGUCGUAGGUUCGUAUCCUGCCGUGGCCA